rnacentral:rRNA from 1 species
CGGAAACGAGAAGUAGCUUGCUACUUCGUUGUCGAGCGGCGGACGGGUGAGUAAUGCCUGGGAAAUUGCCUUGAUGUGGGGGAUAACCAUUGGAAACGAUGGCUAAUACCGCAUAAUGCUUUUGUUUGUAAUGAACGGGAGCCAAAGAGGGGGACCUUCGGGCCUCUCGCGUCAAGAUAUGCCCAGGUGGGAUUAGCUAGUUGGUGAGGUAAUGGCUCACCAAGGCGACGAUCCCUAGCUGGUCUGAGAGGAUGAUCAGCCACACUGGAACUGAGACACGGUCCAGACUCCUACGGGAGGCAGCAGUGGGGAAUAUUGCACAAUGGGCGCAAGCCUGAUGCAGCCAUGCCGCGUGUAUGAAGAAGGCCUCUCGGGUUGUAAAGUACUUUCAGCAGUGAGGAAGGUGGAUGUGUUCAAUAGCAGCAUUCAUUUGACGUUAGCUGCAGAAGAAGCACCGGCUAACUCCGUGCCAAGCAAGACGCGGUAACUACGGAGGGUGCGAGCGUUAAUCGGAAUUACUGGGCAGUUAAAGCGCCAUGCAGGGUGGCAUGAUUUAC